rnacentral:rRNA from 1 species
AUGCCUCGUGGGCCCAUGGUGCCCCCUCCACUUAUUCCCGCACCCACACACUCCAUCUUCCUCCCAAAAAAAUCCCAUCCAGCUCAAGCACGAGUUCUAGCUAAUUUUGCUGCGAUUUUCGAUCUCCUUGCUCAAAGCUCCAUUCACAAAAUUGCUUUGGGAGAUUGUUGCUUGGUAUGUGACUCCUCCAAUGGUCCAAUUAGUUUUGGUUCUAGUGCUUUAUUCAUUGCAAAUUUUUGCUGCUUAGGUGACCCUGUUCUUGAGCUUGCAUGUCAAAUUUAUGAGGUCCCAAGUAAUUCUAAUGCUUGA